GUCCGUGUAUCUUUUGGUCAUUGGAUUUUCCUUUCUGAAACGGAUAUUAAAAAACAAAAAACAAGUGGUUAUUUGAUUUUUGUUUUAAAAUACAAAAUUUAAAAUUAAAAUACAAAGCGUUUCUCUUUUUCAGUGUCAAACAGAGAUGAGCGAAAUUUUAAAAAUGAUUUGAAUUUCAAUUUCUAUUUCGGAUAUCAAAAAAUAAAAUUACUUUAAAACAGAAACCAAAAAAGGCCCGUUUGUUCAUAUUCCGAGACCGGAUGUGGUUAGCACUCACGUGACAAGACCGCCACAUUUGACAGAGUUGUUAAGAAAUUGUGCUGUGACUGUCACUGAUGUGCCAGGUGUGCUAAUUGAGCGUGAUCAUAGAGCAGACAUGGAGCAAUACGUUGUUUUUCGAAACAAUAAAAGAGUCUCUCUCAGGGAAGAAGACAUGACUGCAGAAAAAAAUAAGUCGCAUUUUCCAGGUCUCAGCACAUAGUCUAUACGUGACUGACGACGCAAAUGUGGCCAUUUUUCCUGGAGCUUCUGGUUUUUUUAGCACAUUGGACCUUACACCAAGAGCUCACUAUGAGGUUCACGGUGAGGAGGAGGACGCCUCAUCAGCUUCAAAUGCCACAGCUCGUUUUACGUUCAUGCGAUCACCUGCGACUGCUACUAACGUUACUCCUAGUCCAUCAUCAUCUGCUCAGCGGGCUGCCUCAGCCCCCCUCAGAGCCACUGCCUCUAAAACAUUUCAAAGAUCGGUUUUUCUUGCUGAGGUGGUUGGUGGGAGGCUGAGUCCCAGCAGAAUGGUGGUGGUCCGGUUUUUGGAAUCUGAGGCUACCCUUCAGGGGAUAAUCGGUAAAGUUCAAGAUGCCAUUGGAUGUCAUGACCCAAUGGUAUUGACUGAUGUGCAGGGGAAUGCAAUUUUGGAGUCUGAAGGCACAACUGGGUCCCAGUACUGGAAACAAAAUGCUAGAAAGAUUCUUGCUAUACAAGAACAGGCCUUCCAGGAGGUACAGGGCUCUAAAAGGAGGAGAAUGAGCCGAAAAGAUGAAGAUGCUGCUGGAAUUGGAGAGGUCACUGAGAAGAUAGAAGAGCUUGUACUGGCAUCACAGACCUUACCAGAUAUCACUGCAGCAAUCAGAGAGCUCACCAAUCUAGCUGCCACUCAAAGAGUGAUCCUGACUCCUUCCCAGCUACAGACCAUCAAGCAAGGAUUCUGCUGUGUUAUUUGUAUGAAAUUCAUCGAGGAGCCAGUCUUCACAGAGUGUUGCCGGAGCAUUAUUGGCUGCAAAACAUGUGUGGUACAGUGGCAGGAGACCUCUGUGCACUGUGCAAAAUGUAGAGGGAACACUGCAAACAACACCAUAUUUGAAAUUAAUGGUCUGUCAGAGACAUUUUCUGUUCUGAGAUCCCUUUUUGAAGAGGAGUAACGUUGAAUUUUUACACAAAUUUAAAGUUAACAGUCUUCAAGUUAAAUAGAGCUAAUGGCUUUUCACACAUUGCGCUGAGUUGUGGUUAUAAGACAGAGCAAUGCCUGUUUGUAUGGGGCAAAGUCAUUGUUCACUGCUCUAGAGUACAAUUCUGACAUGUCUGAAUAAUGCUCGGCAAACUGGUUCUCAACUGUAAUCUUGUCCUGUUCAGUUGAAAAUGGAUCAACUCCAAAAGUUGAAUGCCUGGUCAGUGAUGAUCCCAGCUGUUGGCUGUAAAGGUCUGCUGCUUCAGCUGAAUGAGGCAACAGCUCCUGUUGGAUUUUUUUGGGACACCCACGGCCAGCCAAGUCAUUUGGUGUUCCUUUACCUGUAAAAUAAAGAACAUACUGUUGGUAUUGAAACUUAUGAAUGCCUCUUGUAAUAAUUGUAAUCUUCGAAACACGGUUUUAUUUCACCUGGAAUUCUAUGAGCAUUCCAUGACUCCACCAG
ensembl:lncRNA